UAAUUUAAAUCUCUUUUGUUUUUUUCAGGGUUUUUUUUUUUUUUUUUUCCUGCUAUGAUGAAAAGACCUUACCUGAUCAGAGCAAUUGUAGAGGAGAAAAGUUUAUUUGGGGACUCAACAGUUUCAGAGAUCUCAACCUAUAGACAGCAGACUUCCUUCCUCAGGGCUCAGGAUGAGGCUGAACAUAAUGGCAGAAAAGUGUGGCAGAUGGAGGAAGCAUACGUGAUGAUCAUAAAGAGUCAUAAAGAGAGAGAGGGGUCUCUACUUGCCAGAUAAAAAUAUAUACUCCAAAGCCCUGGCCCCAAUGCCCCCCAGCCUCUUCCAGCCACACCCAACAAACUUCCACUAAAACAGAGCUCCAGGAGAGCUGUGGCAUUUGACUGCUAUAUUUAUCCUUAAUUUCCAGCUAUUAUUAACUCACCAAAAUUUAAAGUGUCAAGUUAUUUCACUUUCAAUAUUUGUGCAAUUUUGUACAUACUGGGGGAAAAGAGGAAUGUAAGCCAAUGUAUUUUGCAUUUUCUGAAAAUGACAAAAUCGUCUUAACCCCUUCACUUAAAAUUGGAAAACUGCAAUGAACAUUAUGCUUUCAUAAUAUCAUAAAUUCAUGUGAUUAGGCAAUAUUUUCAUGCCCACUGCCAAGAACACUAAAUGUUUUAUGGAAAUAAGAUUGCUAAUAUUUUAAUUCAGAUAUAUCAACACAUCUAAAUUGCUCCUCUUCUAUAAAUAUUAUUAUAAUAUUAAACAUAAUAUUAUAGUCAUUUAAAUUGUUAUACUUGC
rnacentral:lncRNA from 1 species